GGGCGCUCCAGGGUUGGUAAUUGUGCCAUGCAUAGUUGAGAUUGACCGUAUUGUCAUAAGAGAAGUUCAGUAUCAAUUUGAAGUGAAUCGGUGUAGAAAUGAAGAAAUUAUAGUAAAAGGCAAUUUUGGGUGGGUGUGGUCUAUGUGGGCGGGGCGCCCCAGGGUUGGUAAUGGGGCCAUGCAUAGUUGAGAUUGACUGUAUUGUCAUAAGAGAAGUUCAAUAUCAAUUUGAAGUGAAUCGGUGUAGAAAUGAAGAAAUUAUAGUAAAGGCAAUUUUGGGUGGGUGUGGUCUAUGUGGGCAGGGCCCCAGGGUUGGUUAUGGGGCCAUGCAUAGUUGAGAUUGACCCUAAUGUCAUAAGAGAAGUUCAGUAUCAAUUUGAAGUGAAUCCAUGUAGAAAUGAAAAAAUUAUAGUAAAUGGAAUUUUUUGGUGGGUGUGGCCUAUGUGGGCGGGCGCCCCAGGAUUGGGAUUGGGGCCAUGCAUAGUUGAGAUUGACCCUAAUGUCAUAACAAAAGUUCAGUAUCAAUUUGAAGUGAAUCCGUGUAGAAAUGAAAAAAUUAUAGUAAAUGGACAUUUUUGGUGGGUGUGGCCUAUGUGGGCGGGGCGCCCCAGGGUUGGGAAUGGGGCCAUGCAUGGUUGAGAUUGGCCGUAUUGUCAUAAGAGAGGUCCAGUAUCAAUUUGAAGUGAAUCGGUGUAGAAAUAAAGAAGUAAAUGUAAAAUAACCUAAAAAAAUGAGUGAUAAUUUCUGACGCGGCCCCACCCCAACCGCUAUAACUUUUGACCCAGGGGUCAGAUCAAAAUUCCAAAUAGUGCAGGGUCGCACAUAUGCUCAUAGCUACCAUGUGUGUAAGUUUCAAGGUUCUAGUGCUUUUAGUGUAGGAGGAGAUAGUGGCCAGGACGGACAGACAGACAGACGGACGGACGGCGGAGAUAACCACAAUAUCCCCA